CGUGGGUAAUCUGCCUGGGAGCGGGGGAUAACCUGGGGAAACUCGGGCUAAUACCGCAUACGUUGGUGGGGAUACGUCUUCAUCAAGAAAACUGGCCUCUGCUUGCAAGCUAGUGCUCCCAGAGGAGCCCGCGGCUGAUUAGCUAGUUGGUGAGGUAAUGGCUCACCAAGGCUUCGAUCAGUAGCCGGCCUGAGAGGGUGAUCGGCCACACUGGGACUGAGACACGGCCCAGACUCCUACGGGAGGCAGCAGUGGGGAAUAUUGGACAAUGGGCGCAAGCCUGAUCCAGCAACGCCGCGUGGAGGAUGAAGGUCUUCGGAUCGUAAACUCCUGUCAGACGGGACGAAGGUAGCAGGGUGAACAAUCCUGCUGUUUGACGGUACCGUCAGAGGAAGCCCCGGCUAACUCCGUGCCAGCAGCCGCGGUAAUACGGAGGGGGCGAGCGUUAUUCGGAAUUAUUGGGCGUAAAGGGCGCGUAGGCGGCUUCAUAAGUCAAAGGUGAAAUCCCUCGGCUCAACUGAGGAACUGCCUUUGAAACUGUGGAGCUUGAGGCCGGGAGGGGGUAGCGGAAUUCCCAGUGUAGCGGUGAAAUGCGUAGAUAUUGGGAGGAACACCAGUGGC
rnacentral:rRNA from 1 species